UCAUCCGUUUAUAUCAGCAACACGAGAUAUUUUUAAUCAGAACAAGUUGUCAAUAAGAUUAGUAACUCCUUUAGAAGAGUUAGCAAAUGUUCACAAUUUUAAUAUUUACAACUUUAAAAAAAAUAUUGUUUUAGAAGAGUCCUGUACAAGUGCAAUUUGUAUAUCCUGUAACCGGCCCAUGCCUCUCAAGGGGUUGCCGAAGAAGUACUUUCUUGGAAAGUAGAGCAAAACUAGAACAGGUUCUGAACGCCUUCAGGACAAUGAGGAUAGUCAAUAGAAGUCAUCAAUGCUGCUCACAUUCCAGCUUUAAUUCUCCACCCACUCCCACCCUUCUGACUGUGGUCUCCUGUACUGUUCUCCUGUACUGAACAAGGCCCGACACAAGUCUGAGGAGCAGCACCUCAUUUUCCAGCUGGGCACAUUGCAGCCUUCCAGAUUCUAUUGAAGACUACAACUUCAGCAUAUCAUUGGCACCUCCUUACCAGUUUCCAUGAAAUGACAUUUAAGAAACCUAAUCAUACUGAGUGUUCAUUUGAAGGCCAAGUGAUUUGGCUUUGUUGGGCCCAACCAAUAACAUCUGUUGAGAGAAGCAAAGGACUGCAGAUGCUGGAAUCUAAAUGAAAAACACGAUGAUGCUGGAAGAACUCAGCAGGCCAGGCAGCAUCCGUGGAGAAAAGCAGGAAUGCAUCAGGCUGAUCUUCACCGGUUCAGCCAUGGCAGGGUACAAGAUGUCAGUCAACAUGAAAAUACUGAUCCACAUUCAAUCCUGGAAGAUCAAGAUCAGUUGCAGCUUCCCACAGUCUACUUUUCAAGAAGAAAUUUGAGCAUGGUGCAAAAGGGUUUGCCAAUUCACUAGGAGCCCUCCUAACCCAUGCUGAUUAAAAACAGUUCCAUUCUACUAUAUUUGUAACUGUUUAAGAACUCAACACUGUCGGUCCCCUUCGUCAUUUUGUAAUUGAAGGCAAGCUGUACAUAAUGUUCCAUUGUUGACUAAUGAAUUUAUCAUGCUCUUGUCUUGUUGGCAAAAUGUGAAUGUUAUUUUUGCAACCUUUCUUCCUUUGUCAGUUUUUUGUUAUCCAGUGGUAUGUAUAUAGGAGAGUUCAUGGUUCCUUGUUUGUUGUCAGUUUUUAACUGAGCAUUGUCUGUUUUUUAUUAAGCACCUAUUAUGAAUCUUGCAUUUGGUUCAAUAAUAAGCUCUGCACAAUUUAACAUUCAAACCUAUGCUGAUUUUAAGAAUCCAGUGUAGACACUCACUAGGCAACAUUGCUGCUCCCCUUUCCCUUAGUAAUUGCUGGAUUACAGACAACUGAACAGCUUUGUAUAUUUUGGAAAGAAGAAAGUGGGUCCAUAUUGAAAAUACGUAAGAUAUUUUUGAACAGUAACAUACUUGUUGAUUUUUGCAUCGAUGCUGAAUACAAAAAAAAUCCAGUUUUAUUCACGUGACAGGUAUUGUACUUUUUGUGAUCAAAGGCUUAACAUAGCAGGAACUACUGAUACAGAUAAUCCAUAACAUAUGUCAUGCAACAAUACAGCAAAUAUAAAAUUCCAGAGUACCAGACAUAGUCAUUCUUGAGAGAUAUUGUACUUGCUGUUCACCAUUUACACUCAUUUUCAUUCAUAUGAUUACAAUGACUAGAACCAAUAAUCUUUUUUUCUACCUCUAAUUCCAAUUAAACUUUCAAAUGUACAGUUCUGCAAUUUAUCCUGCCAGCAUUAAUAAUGGACCAAACUAUGUCCUAGCUCAUCUCACCUCCACCAAGUAUUCUCAUCUCUUAAUGACUUGCAGGUGUACCAUCUGUACUAAUUCAAGAGAUAUUAGUACUGAAUGCACUAGAUCAUCAUUUUUAGUGCCACCGUCAGGAAGUUAUGUCACAUUGGGAGGACACAAAUGGACUAGCUGAUCUCUACUUGUCUUUCAUUUUCUGGUUAGUAGUUUAUAUGUUCUCUUUCCCAUUUUUGUGAGAAUGGUAAGUUGUGGAAAGAGGGAAAAUCUGCCACACAGAGGGAUUUUAUUCACACAGACACAUGCAUGGACAUUGCGUUUCGGGCUUAUAAGUUGUCAGGCCAUAAAAUCCACACUAUGUUAAAGAGAGUCUUGUCCCCUCAUUAAAUAAGAAGGGUCAAUGUAUUAUCGCUAUAGGGCAGUGACCAAACCAGUAUUUAUGCUGAAUCUCCUUUUUUCCGAGGUUUAAGUUCACUUUUAUACUCUAUCCCAAUUAUAAAGCCCAGGAUCUCAGUUGCUUUUUUAAGUCCCAUCAUGGCUUGGUUCCUCUUUUCCUGUAUAUUAUAUUAUAUUGCCUCCUCAUUCCUUCUAUUAAAAUGCUUCACUUUGUACUUCUAUAUGUUAAAUAUCAUCUGCCACAUGAUGGCCCACUCUAUCAGCCUGUUCACCUUCUCCAGAAGUCUAUCACCAUCUUCAUCACUGUUUACUACAUAUCCAAUUUUUUGUAUCAUCAGCAAAUUUUGAAAUUAAGGCCCGGAACACCCAAACAUAAGUCAUUGGUCUAUCUCAAGAAAAGCAGUGGUUCUUAGGGAAUGCCAUCUUUUGGAGAGUGCCACGACUUAUCUUUCUCCACCUUUUGAUUGUGUAGGUUUCAAUUUUUCUGACAAGUUUAAGCAUCAACAAAAGCAGAAAUUGCUGGAAACACUCAGCAGGUCUGGCAACUACGUGAAGCAUUUUCUGUUUUUGUUGUGGAUUUCCAGCAUCUGCAGGUUUUUUUUUUGUUUUUCUCUUUGGCUGUCUUUUGAAAGUCCA